rnacentral:rRNA from 1 species
GCCCUAGUAACGGCGAGUGAAGCGGCAACAGCUCAAAUUUGAAAUCUGGCCCUCUGGGCCCGAGUUGUAAUUUGUAGAGGGCGCUUUGGUGUUGGCCCCGGCCUAAGUUCCUUGGAACAGGACGUCACAGAGGGUGAGAACCCCGUACGUGGCCGGCGGCCUUCGCUGUGUAAAGCCCCUUCGACGAGUCGAGUUGUUUGGGAAUGCAGCUCUAAAUGGGAGGUAAAUUUCUUCUAAAGCUAAAUACUGGCCAGAGACCGAUAGCGCACAAGUAGAGUGAUCGAAAGAUGAAAAGCACUUUGGAAAGAGAGUCAAAAAGCACGUGAAAUUGUUGAAAGGGAAGCGCUUGCAGCCAGACUUGCCUGUAGUUGCUCACCUGGGCUCUUGCCCAGCGCACUCUUCUGCGGGCAGGCCAGCAUCAGUUCAAGCGGUCGGACAAAAGCCCUAGGAAUGUGGCUCCUUCCGGGGAGUGUUAUAGCCUAGGGCAUAAUGCGGCCAGCUUGGACUGAGGUCCGCGCAUUUGCUAGGAUGCUGGCGUAAUGGUUGUAAGCGGCCCGUCUUGAAACACGGACCAAGGAGUCUAACAUCUAUGCGAGUGUUUGGGUGUCAAGCCCGAGCGCGAAAUGAAAGUGAACGGAGGUGGGAACCCCCCGGGGCGCACCAUCGACCGAUCCUGAUGUCUUCGGAUGGAUUUGAGUAAGAGCAUAGCUGUUGGGACCCGAAAGAUGGUGAACUAUGCCUGAAUAGGGUGAAGCCAGAGGAAACUCUGGUGGAGGCUCGCAGCGGUUCUGACGUGCAAAUCGAUCGUCAAAUUUGGGCAUAGGGGCGAAAGA